rnacentral:rRNA from 1 species
AGCAGCCGCGGUAAUUCCAGCUCCAAUAGCGUAUAUUAAAGUUGUUGCAGUUAAAAAGCUCGUAGUUGAAUUUCGGGGUUCCUCCGUUGGUCGGGCUAUCCAGUCUGUACUAGCGUGUAGAAUUCCUACCUUCUGGGAACCAUCAUGUUAUUAAUUUAGCGUGGUGGGAAACCAGGACCUUUACCUUGAAAAAAAUUAGAGUGUUCAAAGCAGGCUUACGUCUGAAUACAUUAGCAUGGAAUAAUAGAAUAGGACGGUGGUCCUGUUUUGUUGGUUUCUGAAUCACCGUAAUGAUUAAUAGGGAUAGUUGGGGGCAUUAGUAUUCAAUUGUCAGAGGUGAAAUUCUUGGAUUUAUUGAAGACUAACUUCUGCGAAAGCAUUUGCCAAGGAUGUUUUCAUUAAUCAAGGACGAAAGUUAGGGGAUCGAAGACGAUCAGAUACCGUCGUAGUCUUAACCAUAAACUAUGCCGACUAGGGAUCGGACGAUGUUAAAUUUAUUGACUCGUUCGGCGUCCUUACG